UCUCCCAAGCGGUUGUGAUUUGAAGCAGAUUUUGUCUCAGUUAAACCUAUAUUUUAAAGAGCAUCUUGUUGUUGUGAAGCAUCUGAAUAUGGUUGCAUGCUUUUCUUAACGCUUCCCUUUGUACAAAGUAGAGACAAACAUCAGUGGUCAAAUGCUCUUUAUUGAAUUACCUGUUGCAGGAGACCAGCACCAUUAAAGUGGGGUCUCUAUUUUACACAGCUGUUUAACGGCAUGAGAUGGAUGAACUCAUUUGUUAAAUUGGGAUCUGUAAACAAAAACAAAUGGGAGGAAGAGAGACAGAGACAAUGAGUAAUGGAAACACAGUUUCCAGACUGCAGAAGCCAGAGCUUUACUAGAAAAUAUCUGCAGCCCUGAGGAAAGGCUUUCCGGGGUCCCUGUGACUGUUACCUAGCAACAAGCCCAUCGUGCAGGGCACAGUGGAGUCCAGUUUAGCGGGGCUCAGGAAAAACACGUGAGUAACAGCACGAAAUUUCUUCUUUUAUACUAUGUUAAUGACUCAGGUCCAUGACAGGCUCUUACAGGGGUGAGUGUCUGAAGAAAUCACCCCUGAAUAAUGCUUUCCCCAUGUUAAGUCCCUAAAGGAGAAAAAUGGCUUUAGCUUAAUUUACUGUGCACAUGUCAUUACUUAUUUGUCCGUAUAUCCAUCUGAUAAGAGCUAAAUAUACCAUAUGAAAAAGAAAAUCAUCCAAGCUUAAAUUAGUUUUGAUGCAUGGUGUAAGGCUCUAAGACCCGUCCAAAUUCAUUCCUAAUAGCAAAUGAAGUCUGUAUCACAGAUUUAGUUAUUAUUAAUUUUUUGGCUUUAGAAAUUGCUUUUAAGCAAAUGACUGCAUUUUUUUCAGGUUUGCCCUCUUUCUUCUAUUAGGGUGUUAAUCUGAGCUGACUGGAUUGCUUUUCUGUCAUCUGUUUUUGCCUAAGAUUUGUCAGGAAAAGAAGUAUGUUUCCAGAGUACAGUAUUUUAACAAUGCAAUUAUGCCGAUGGUCUUUCUUAUGUAACAAUAUCCCCCUUUUAAAAAAAUGCUCAGUGCUUUUCUAAUUUUGCUUCUCUUUACCUUUAACUAAGUCAGGCUAAGACAUGCAUUAGCCAGAAGCAGGACAGUAAACCAAAUUACUUGAUCUCAGGUCUAGAUUUUCAUUGGUUGAACUGUGUUUGUUGGUUUGUUUUUCAAAUAUAUUGAGGCUGUAGAAACUCAUUUGCCUGGAAUUAUGUCCUGAAAUCCCAAAGUUCUGCAGAUAAUGAAGGUAGGACAUAGAACUUACUUAAAAGGCCAUUUUGGUCCAAUGGCUGUAUUUCUUUUAUUUUGAAAAAUAAUUUCUGUUGAUAUUAAGGACACUGAGAUUCCAUAAUAACAGCAAACGUUUCUAUAUGGCUUACUACUCUUUAGGGACUGUUUUAAGUGCUUUAAAUGAGUUCUCAUUCAAUCUUCACAACAGCGCUUUGAGAUAGACACUACCAUGAUCUUCAUUUUAUAGAUGAGGAAACUGAGGCAUACAGGGUUCAAAUAACUUGCUCAAUUUUGUGGAGCUUGUAUUUGAACCUAAGCAGCAUAGCUCCCAAGUCCAUGCUCUUAACAACUGCGCCAUCCUCUGCUUUUACAUUAGUUGUUUAUUCAAUCAUUUAUCCAACAAAGCUUUGUUGUGAGCACUGGAAACUCACAACAAUGGCAAGAAAUGGACAGUGUCCCUGCCCUCAGUGGAUUAUCCUCAAGUCUGAUGGAUAUAAUAGCCCAGUGCAAAGCAGGUGGUUUCUGUCCUGUGUUGCCCUAUGUAGAGCAAAUUAUUAUAAACCUCCAGGUAAGUCACUGCCAAAUUUCAAAGACUGUACUUUUCAUUACAAAUGUGACUCAUUGUCUUUGUCUGUUUGUGCAUUGCUAUGAGGGAUUACCUGCAGCUGGACAAGUUAGAAGGAGAAGAGGUUUAUUUGACUCACAGUUUUGCAGACUGUACAAGAAGCAUGGGGCCAGCAUCUGCUUCUGAUCUUGAAUCCACGUUGAUAUACUGGGAGCUGGUCUCGACAAUAAAGAAUCCUACAGGAAAUCCUAGUAAUACUGCAUAGGAACACUUUUGCUCAAAACUCCUCUCAGCACUUUGGAGCCCUGGAUAUCCAGCUGCCAGCAGGUACAUUUCUUCUUCCAUAAGUUUUCUCUGGCUGCCAUGGGAUUCAUCACUCCCGGGACAACUCAGUCAAUUACAGAUGGCGAGACCCUCAGAAGUGCAUCUGCUACGCUGGCUCCUGGAUUUCUCCAGCAGGCAUCCUAUCAUCAACGGAAGUCAAUUUCAUCCGCCUGAUGGGAAAACACCAUAUCCUUCUUAAAUGGAAUUGCCCCCUCUGAAACCGAUGUUCCAUACAAGCAAAUGACCAACUGUGCUGGCGCUGUCACAGGAUUAAAAAUGACGAUCCUAUCUCAUGCUUCUACCACUGCUCAUCAUUUCUAAGCCAUCAACAUACAGAAACCACUUGAUCUGCUUCUGAUUCGAGUCUCUUCAGGAGUGGAAGCGUAAUGGCCAGGGACACCAAUAGCUCACAGCUCCUGCACGCCUGUGAGGGAGGGAACAUCCACCCCAGAGCCUGGGAUCAACUCUGCUCUGCAGAAAUCGCCCUAAGAUAUUAAAUGUCCACAAAAAGCAGAUUGGAGCCUUGCUUCUCAGUGUUCUUCCUCCAAAGGCCUCUUACUUCCAGCAGCUGGGGAUCAGCCCCAACUGCCUCUGAAGGAGGAAAGGCCGAGUUGAUUUAGUUUUUGUUCCAGCUGGAUGGAGGCUUUGCUCUGACUCCAACUCAGAAGGAUGGGGCGCAGCCUGGGUGGGAGCAAAAAGGUUCUCUUCAUAGCCCUGCUGCUGGCGUGGGCUGCUCUUUUCACUCUCUGGACCUGUCUCCCCAUCUGUGGAAUGGGGCAAGGAUGCUGACCACCAGAUAAAUCUUUGAGAUUUAAUUUCCACGUACAAGACUUUAAAAUCCAGAGCAAAAGGGAUAAUUUGAAUAUAAAGCACUGUUAGUAUUUUGGACCCACUUCUGCCAGUACUCUGUUGUUCCCUGCUCUAGAGUCUUCUCCAGGGUUUCGUUCAGAAGCUGCUGCUGCUGUCUCACAAUACCCACAUGGCUCAGCCUCCAGCUCCCAGUGUCUGAGAAGGUGACUGUCCAUAUAGCAUGGGGACAGCCCAGUUUGCUGCACUGAUAAUUUUGCUCAUUAAUACUUGAAAAUACACACAGAGAUAAUGAUUUCUCAUAAAUACCGGGACGCUUUCUGCUUUAGAAUGAAAGCAAAAGACCUCCUUCACUGUAUGUCCCAUUACGAUGUAUGCAUCCUGGUCAUUUUACCUUUCUGUAAGAAACCCAAGGGACAGAGGGGCCAGAGGCUGUGCUGCUCCCAGUGGCUGCAGUGCUUGGAAUUUAUGAGGUUGGAAGGCUGUCAGCUAUUCAGGAUCACAGAGCUCAGGGGCUGACAACGGGAAGGGAGUCUCUUUACUAUUACCUCUCAUACAUUGACUCCAUAAAUAUCUUUUUUUAUUAUUAUUUCUGCUGUUUGUAGAUUUCAUUUAUGGAUGUGGUUAAUGCUGCAUCUGAAUGUUAAGGGAAUUACUAUCCUUGUUAAGAAUCUGACCUAUUGGGGAGAUUUGCUGAGGCUUUUCUCCCCACCGCAAUAAACACGUCUGGUAGAUGGCAAGGGGCUUAUUUUUCCCCUGGAUACCCUGGUGAGUAUUUGGGGGGAAUGACUUUUAAGAACCAGAGAGAGCAUUCCCUCCAACAUUUAACAUGCUUUGAUGUUGGCUGAGGGAGGUAAUCAUCCCUGCCUGUGCCUUAUGGGGGCGGAAGGGGAGCCCUGCUAUAGUGGCCAGGCUAUUUCUGUGCAUCUAUUCUCCAAGAACAAUGAUGGAGCUGCAAAGACAAACCCCAAAGCUGAGAGGGACCCAGUACACAGCAGGGGGGUACAACACCAGCACCCCAUAAAGCCACUGUCAGUGCUGUGCAAUAGACACAUCCUCUUCCUGUCCCAGGGAGGCAGGUCUCUGUGUAGAGUGGUGACCAGCUGCAGUUUGAGGGAUUCACUGGGCUCCUGGUCAGAGUAUGCCAGGCAAGGUGUGGGGAUCAAAGACUGGAUUCUUGAGAGAGGUUGAUUCGAUCCGUAGGACUAUGCCAGUCAUUUGAAGAGGCAGUUUUGGAAGGAUGAAGUACCAACCUAGUAUUCAAAAUCCCGACUGACUACUCCCAAUGCUCUUAAUAACAGUAUUUCAAAGAAUCACGGGGACAUGUGUGCCUGCAUAUGCGUGUGUGCCAGUGUGUUCAUGUGUAUGUAUAUGGACUUGUGUGCAUGUGUGUGUAUGGGUGUGUGCACCUGUAUGUGCAUGUGUGCACAUGUGUGCCUGCAUAUGCAUGUGUGCCAGUAUGUGCAUGUGUACGUAUAUGGACUUGUGUGCAUGCGUGCAUGUGUGUGUAUGGCCGUGUGCACCUGUAUGUGCAUGUGUUCACAUGUGUGUGCCUGCAUAUGCAUGUGUGCCGGUGUGUGCAUGUGUACGUAUAUGGACUUGUGUGCAUGCAUGCAUGUGUGUGUAUGGGUGUGUGCACCUGUAUGUGCAUGUGUGCACAUGUGUGUGCCUGUGUGUGAGAUUUCUCAGCCAGAGCGCUUUUCUGCCAUGCAUCUAACAGCCUACACCAUCAGCACAACAACCUCAAAACCCAUUCUGUGUUGUUUUCCUUCAGAUCUCUUCUUCAUUCCUUCCCCUUUUCUCAGAUAACCAUAUGCUCACUUGUCCAAACUGGAAACAUUGAUGUUUGCCUUAUGUCCUCUUCUCCCCUUUUCCUCAGCUCACAUCCAAUAAAUCACUAAGGCAUUUGGAUUCUGAGUCACAAAUCUCCUCUCAAAUCCUUCUGCUGUUCUCUGUUCCAGUUCCCAUAACCAUAGGGUGAUGAUUUUCAGGCUAUGAUUUUUCUCCUAACCUGGAUUACUGCAAAAGCCCCCUAAAGGGUAUGCUUGUUUCUAACCUGGACCCCCAUCCAUCUACGUGCAAUAAAGAAUGGCACUUGAGCAUAAUACCACCUUCAUUAGCUUCCUAUCACCUUCAAACAAAGGGCAGACUGUAUUACCUGAUCUAGAAGGAACUUUGUGGUCUGUUUCCUGCCACUUUCUCCUGUGAGCACCAGUGCGCCAGCCAUGUGCCAUUUUGAAUCACUUGCAGUUCUCAGACCACCCUCUCUUUUAUGGGCCAUUGUGUAUGUUUCUCCUUCUAUCCAGAAUAAUUUCCCCUGCUCUUUCCUUAAUUCUAAUUCAGCAUUCACGUAUUGGCUGAGAUGCUACCUCCUUCAGGAAGCUAAUUUUGUCCAAAGAUUGAGCAAAAUGCCCCUUCAAUGCACCCCCAUAGCACCUCAUGCUUUACCGCACACAGCUGCGCUGUGCUGUGCUGGAACUGCCUGUUGACUCAUUGGUCUCCCAUCCAGGAUGAUGAGCUUCUUGAGAGUAGCAGACACUGUUAUUUUACUCUCAACACAAAGUUUCAAGCAACUAGUCAGUAUUCACUUGCUUAUUUUAUAAAAACAUACAUGAGUCUUUUUACACCCAGUUUAAUGGUUUUCAACAGUACUGUUUCCUCUAUUUUUCUUGUUAUUCUAACCCUGUGUAUUUUGGGGUUCAAGUCAAUGCAUCUGCAUAGACCCACAGUUUUGUACCCUGCACAAAACUGGGAUUCACCUUACUCAAUAAGAAAAUAGGUUGCUAAUGUAGUGGGGCAGUAGUAUUUUCAACAUCAGUGAUAAUCAAUAUUUGCUGAACAUUGCUGUAUGCCAUGCACUGACCUAAGCUUACAUAUGUUAGUUCACUUAAUUAUCACCAGAACCCUAUGGAGAAGGUACCGUUAACACCCUAAUCUCAAAGAUAAGUUAACCAAGGUAUAGUUGAGUGAAGUUUAUUGAAUAAUUAGGAAAUGGUAGAGUUAGGACACAAGCCCAGGCAGACGAACUUUAGAGUCAGACUUUAAAUCAAUAAGCUCUGUUUUGCUGAGUUGAAAUUGAGCCCAAGUGCCCAAGGAUGAUAGACUGGACAGGGAAAAUGUGGCACAUAUAUACCAUGGAAUACUAUGCAGCCACAAAAAAUGAUGAGUUUGUGUCCUUUGUAGGGACAUGGAUGAACCUGAAAACCAUCAUUCUCAGCAAACUGACACAAGAACAGAAAAUCAAACACCGCAUGUUCUCACUCAUAGGCAGGUGUUGAACAAUGAGAACACAUGGACACAGUGAGGGGAGCAUCACACACUGGGGUCUG